rnacentral:rRNA from 1 species
CCUACGGUGCGCAGCAGUCGAGAAUCAUUCACAAUGGGGGAAACCCUGAUGGUGCGACGCCGCGUGGGGGAAUGAAGGUCUUCGGAUUGUAAACCCCUGUCAUGUGGGAGCAAAUCAAAAAGAUAGUACCACAAGAGGAAGAGACGGCUAACUGUGUGCCAGCAGCCGCGGCAAUACAGAGGGCUCAACCGUUGUUCGGAAUCAAUGGGCGUAAAGCGUGCGUAGGCUGUUUCGUAAGUCGUGUGUGAAAGGCGCGUGCUCAACCCGCGGACGGCACAUGAGACUGCGAGACUAGAGUAAUGGAGGGGGAACCGGAAUUCUCGGUGUAGCAGUGAAAUGCGUAGAUAUCGAGAGGAACACUCGUGGCGAAGGCGGGUUCCUGGACAUUAACUGACGCUGAGGCACGAAGGCCAGGGGAGCGAAAGGGAUUAGAUACCCGGGUAGUC